AAAGAAGCUUUUAUAUUAAAUUAUUUUAUUAUAAUUGACUGAAGAAAUUCAUUUUCUCGCAACCGAUAUCAAUAUCUUCUGAGAUAAGUAAACUGAAAUAUCUGAAAAAACGGUAACUUUGUGACAAAAAUGAUUCGAACAAGUGCCCUGACUGUUCUUCUGAUUACCUUCGCUUGUUAUUGGUGCCAGGAUGGAUCGAGUAGAGCUAUACGAUCGGCAGAUCUUGAGAACAUGAGUCUCGAGGAGUUUCAAAACUUGGCGACUAACCAUCCAGAAGAAUUGAGUCAAAUGUUUUCCACCCCAGAAGAGGCCAGGGAUUUUGUCAAUCAGCUCAGCCAGAGAAUGAACUCCCAACAAUAAUAAAAAAGACUUGGAAUACAUUUCAGACGUGCAAAUCAGAAAAAAAAACCAACUAAUACAAAGAUGGUUAUGGACUUGAACUGAAUUCACAACUUGAACUGAAUUAAACAUUAAUUUAA